UAGAAUGGACUUCUCAAACAAGU
rnacentral:siRNA from 1 species